rnacentral:lncRNA from 1 species
GAUUUGGCCAGUUCUCCAAUCUAACACAUCUUAACCUAAGUGGUUCAGAUCUUGCAGGCCAAGUUCCGUCAGAAAUCUCUCACCUCUCCAAAAUGGUUUCACUUGAUCUCUCUUGGAACUACGAUCUAAGUCUAGAACCACUUUGUUUUGACAAGCUUGUUCGAAACCUAACCAAGCUUAGAGAACUCCAUCUGAGUUGGGUAAACAUGUCACUAGUUGUUCCUGAUUCCUUGAUGAAUCUGUCUUCUUCUCUGUCAUCACUUGAAGUCCUCGACUGUGGAUUGCAAGGAAAACUCCCAUCCUCAAUGGGGAAAUUUAAGCACCUCCAGUACUUGGAUCUUGGAGGGAACAAUCUUACUAGUCCAAUUCCAUAUGAUUUUGAGCAACUCACUGAGUUGGUUUCACUUGAUCUCUCUGGAAACGGCUAUCUAAGUCUAGAACCAAUUUCCUUUGACAAGCUUGUUCGAAACCUAACCAAGCUUAGAGAACUCGAUCUGAGUUCGGUAGACAUGUCACUACUUGUUCCCGAUUCCUUGAUGAAUCUGUCUUCUUCUCUGUCAUCACUCAAACUCAUUGACUGUAGAUUGCAAGGAAAACUCCCAUCCUUAAUGGGGAAAUUUAAGCACCUCCAGUACUUGCGUCUUCGAGGGAACAAUCUUACUGGUUCAAUUCCAUGUGAUUUUGAGCAACUCAUAGAGUUGGUUUCACUUGAUCUCUCUGAAAACUUCUAUCUAAGUCCAGAACCAAUUUGUUUUGACAAGCUUGUUCGAAACUUAACCAAGCUUAGAGAACUCAAUUUGGCUUCUGUAAAUAUGUCUUUGGUUGCACCUAAUUCCUUGACCAAUCUGUCCUCUUCUUUGUCAUCUCUCUCCCUCGGUAAGUGUGGAUUGCAGGGGAAAUUCCCGGGUAACAUCUUUCUCCUCCCAAACCUUGAAUUUCUCUAUUUGUCAAACAACGAAGGCCUUACUGGCUCUUUUCCUUCGUCCAAUUUGAGUAAUGUCCUCUUUCUGUUGGGUCUUUCUAAUACAAGAAUUUCAGUUUAUUUAGAAAACGACUUAAUCAGUAAUCUAAAGUCAUUAGAAUAUAUGUCUCUUCGUAAUUGUAACAUUAUAAGGUCAGAUCUGGCUCUGCUUGGUAAUCUCACACAGCUCACCUAUUUAGAUCUCUCAAGUAACAAUUUUAUAGGUGAGAUCCCAUCAUCAAUUGGAAACAAUACCUUUUCAAAUUUAAAAUAUCUAUUAUUAUUUGAUAACUUGUUCAAUGGAACAAUACCAUCCUUUUUGUUUGCUCUUCCCUCUUUACAAUUUCUUAACCUUCAUAACAAUAAUCUCAUAGGCAAUAUAAGUGAAUUCCAACACCAUUCAUUGGUAAACCUUGAUUUGAGCAGUAACCACUUGCAUGGUACAAUCCCAAGUUCAAUUUUCAAACAAUAUCAAUGUGAAAUUUCAUUCUAUAAGAGAAGCUGAGAAAAAUCUGCUUAUAAAGCUACACUAUUGUCCAACAGAUGUUCAACUGAGGUCCUAGACUUGUCCGACAACAGCUUGAGUGGUUCUAUACCAUUAUGUUUGGGGAACUUCAGCAGCAAGCUCUCAGUAGUGUUAGAAUUAUGAGAUUCUGCCUUGAGUAAGAUAGAGUUAAGUGCAGUUAUGUUAUUUGAAUUUUAUGUAAUCGUUUUUCUUCUUCAGGAUUUGCAGCAGGAACUUUCUGCUAAGUUUGUUAUUUCAAUUCCAAUAAUCUCUCAAGUUUGUUGAGAGUUUCAAUCCAUUACAAGUUCUAUGUAAGUCUAUAUAUAGACAUUUGAAAUUAAUGAUAUUAUUGAUCUUUCUACUCAACUCUGCUAUCUUGAAUCUGUUUUUCUUAUACUUAAACUACAGUUUCCAGAACUAAAUAUUUCUAACAAGUAUUGCAUCUAGGCAUGAACAAUCUUCAAGGCACUAUCCCUUCAACAUUUUCAAAGGGUAAUAGCUUGGAAUAUCUCGACCUCAAUGGAAAUGAAUUAGAAGGGGAAAUAUCACCAUCUAUCAUCAACUGCACAAUGUUGGAAGUUCUUGAUCUUGGCAACAAUAAGAUUGAGGAUACAUUUCCUUAUUUUCUAGAAACGCUUCCGGAGCUGCAAAUUCUAAUUCUAAAAUCCAAUAACCUCCAAGGUUUUGUGAAGGGUCCGACUGCAGAUAAUUCCUUCUUUAAAUUAUGGAUUUUUGACAUCUCUGACAAUAAUUUUAGUGGGCCGUUGCCAACAGGGUAUUUUAAUACUCUUGAAGCAAUGAUGAUCUCAGAUCAAAACAUGAUUUACCUUAACACGACAAAUGACAUUGUCUGUGUUCAUUCCAUAGAAAUGACAUGGAAAGGUGUAGAAAUUGAGUUUCCGAAGAUCCGAAGUACCAUCAGAGUACUAGAUUUGUCAAAUAACAGUUUUACUGGAGAGAUUCCAAAGGUGAUCGGAAAGCUUAAAGCACUACAACAACUCAACCUCUCUCAUAAUUUCCUUACAGGUCAUAUCCAAUCAUCAGUGGGAAAUUUGACCAAUUUGGAAUCAUUAGACCUAUCUUCAAAUUUGCUUACCGGAAGGAUUCCAAUGCAGAUGGCACAUCUAACAUUUCUUGCAACCCUAAACCUUUCACAUAACCAGCUGGAGGGGCCCAUACCAAGUGGAGAGCAAUUCAACACCUUUGAUGCAAGAUCAUUUGAAGGAAACUCGGGUUUAUGUGGCUUUCAAGUACUAAAAGAAUGCUACGGUGACGAGGCACCAUCAUUGCCGCCAUCAAGCUUUAAUGAAGGAGAUGAUUCAACAUUGUUUGGAGAAGGAUUUGGAUGGAAAGCUGUGACAAUAGGGUAUGGAUGCGGGUUUCUGUUUGGAGUUGCAACGGGAUACGUUGUGUUUAGAACAAAUAAACCUUCAUGGUUACUUAGGAUGGUUGAAGAUAUAUGGAAUCUCAAGAGCAAAAACACGAAGAAGAAUUUCCGCAGAUAUGGUGCUAGAAGAAACUAAAUAAUUCAAUUGAUAUUUUCAAGUAAGUUUUGCAAGCAUUUGAGUUUUCAAAUUUUAUGUUCACAAUUUAUGUUAGGCUAACUUUUCUCUACUCUUUCAUUUGAUCAGUCUUACCUUUCUAAUUUUGCAGUACAAACAAGAUAUCAAGUGGAUUUGACAUUGAAACAACACCAGGGUGGCAUAUUCCCUUUACUUUUUUCUCUCUUUUUUUAGUUUCAAGGUUAAUUGGGUGUUUCUUUUAUGAAAACGAAUCCAUGUAUGUAACACAGGUUUGUGUUAACUAUAAAAUCAUUUAUGUUUUGGGUCCUAUUUUUAUGUGUCCACUUCCUUAUUCUUUAUAACUUCAAUUAAUCUUUGUUUCUGGGAGUGUUCUGAAAGUUACAGAGUUAUGAACAGAUAGAAGCAAUUCUUGUAAAUUUAAAAGAACACUUGACUGAUAGAUUCUGUUAUCACAACAGCAGCAAUAUUUGCAAGCAAAAUAGAGUAAUUCUGAUAACUUGGAAGUCAUAAAUGACUAUUAAAAAGUGUAACAAACCCAUCUCAAAAGGUACAAACAAUGUUCGACAACUCUUACACAGAUCCAAAAUCAGUCAACAUUGGUGAUUGGCAAGUUUAUAUCUAAAGCAAAAGAAAGCAAGAUAGGUAUUAAUACCACGUUAAGAGCUCUAUGCUACAAUAAAUCUACAAUUCUGAGUCGCCUAAAAACAACAUAUUCUACUUAGAACAUUUCAGAAUUGGAAAAAAAAUUAAAAUAAUUUAAAAUACAAUUUCUCUUGGCCUCAUAUUAAGAAAAAAACAGAUGAAUAUUUCAAGGGUCCUGAUUAUCCAACUGAAGAUUCAAGAUUUGAGAUACUACGAGUUUAGAGAGUUCAUUAGUUGUGGAUUCAACCUGAUAGUCAUCUGACUGCCUUGGCCACCCAGGUGAAUGAGAGCUUGACCUAGUCUUGGUUGGUGUGCCAUGAACUCUCUGCAAGUCUGACUGGGACAAUGGCAUUGGAUAGAGCACAACAGGCAACAAUUACCAAAACUUUUCCAUGACACCCUCAGGCAUGCAUGGGAUUUCUAUGCAAAUAUUACAAAUCAAUAAAAAUACCUUGAAAAAUUAGCUGGGAAUAUAACAAAUCACAGAUGAGAACUAUAUUGUUCAAUAUACUAUAAAAUAACUGAUGGAAGCAUGGAACAACACGAUGAUAAAUAUAUACUUACACUAGAUUUUUCCCCUUUGUUCACCUCAUCCAAUAGGUCCCUAAUAGGAAAAUAAGCUACUUUCUUGCAAGGUUCAAGAAGAUCUGAACCAGUGUAGCCCUUACACAAAAUUGCUAUACAGUCAAAGUCAAUUUUGCUUUUGAUUUUCUCCUCUUUCAAAACAACCUUCAAGAUCUCAGCCCUCUCUCUUUGAUCAGGUAUCCCAAUUUCAAAGGCCUGAGGAAGCCUCCGGAGGAUUGCUUCAUCGAGUUCUUAAGGUCAGUUGGUUGCAGCAAGUAACAUCUCUUGUGCGUUCUCUUCAAAACAGCCUUCAAGAUCUCAGCCCUCUCUCUUUGAUCAGGUAUCCAAAUUUCAAAGGCCUGAGGAAGCCGCCAGAGGAUUGCUUCAUCGAUUUCUUAAGGUCAGUUGGUUGCAGCAAGUAACAUCUCUUGUGCGUUCUCUUAAGAAUAGUAUCACCAUAAAAUAAAUAAUAAUCAAAAUAAUAAAGAUAAAAUCUAAAAAAUAAAAAAAUAAAAGAUGAAGAAAUUAAAAUAAUAAUAAUUAAUAUUUCAUAAAUUAUUUCAAAUAAAAUAAGUAAUAAUCAAAAGAAUGAAGAUCAAAUUUGAUACAUAAAAAAUUUCAAUAAAAAAAUGAUAAGAGAAAAACAAAUAACAAUUAUAAAAAUAAGGACCAAAGUUAAUAUAAAAAUUAAAUUUUAAGAGAUGAAAUUGAAAAAUAAAUAUUCAAAACAAAAUAUAUAUAGAAAUCAAAAGUUUGAGGACCAAAUUUGAUAUAAUCAGCAAAUAAUAUGACAUUUCUAAAUUUUUCACAAUUUCCGGAAAGUGUUUUCUGCCCAAAUUUUUCAGGAAAACAAUUUCCUGAAAACCAAGUUAAAUUUUCCUUUAACUGUAAAGUAUUUUCCAUUGAUCAACUUUUCUAAUAAUAAACAAACACAAAAAAAUUUAAAAAAUAAUUUUUUAAAAAUAAUUUUUCAGGAAACAAACAUAGCCUUCAUAAAAACACAUUCUAGCAAGUCACUGCAUAAAAAGACUACACAAAUGCAGCACUUGUUUCAAGAGUAAGAACUCACGAUCUGUAGUAAACCCAUCCCAUAAUGCUAUGAACUCAGUCUUCAUAGUGGUUAAUGCCUCAUGAUCUGUAGUACGAUACUGCCAUAUUCAAUAGUGUUUAGAGGAUAGGCUUGAUUGUUACAGAGCAUUUGCAAUUAAGGUUUCAUAAUUGAAAAGUUGGUUUUCGAAUCCUAAUUUCAUCAUAAAACCCAAUUACAAUCGAUUUGAUGUAUUCAAAGUAAUUUAAUGAUAUUUUUUAAUAUUAAUCUCAAAAUUUUAAUAUAUUAAACAACUUUAUUAGUUUGUUUUCCAUUUGUCAGAAAACACAUCAAGAACNNNNNNNNNNNNNNNNNNNNNNNNNNNNNNNNNNNNNNNNNNNNNNNNNNNNNNNNNNNNNNNNNNNNNNNNNNNNNNNNNNNNNNNNNNNNNNNNNNNNCGAUCUCUUAGUUUGCAUUUUAGAAUGAACAAUCGCAUGAAAAACAAUCCCUGAAAAUAAUUAUCCUUUUUCUGAGCACAACUGAUUUCAGCUGAAAAGAGGGGAAAGGAAAAUAAUUAUCCUUUUUCUUCCAACAACCUAUCCCCAGAAAAGAUAUUUAAUCCAUUCAGAAAAUCAAUAUUGUCAUGCAUGUUCCUAUUCUUAUUCUCAUUAAUUAAUGAAAUGUUUUUUUGACACUAUGGUAGCUUUUGUUUUUUUUAUAAAAACAUAUUGCCUAAAAAAGCAUUAAAUUAAAUAUUUUGUGUUUUUUAAUGUUUUUGAUGUGUUUAUAUAUAUUAAAAUUAAAAAGAAUUAAAUAUAUUUUCAAUUAAAAAAUACAUUCAAAAAAUAUAUUGCACAACAUUAUGAAUCACACAGAAAGACUUUUAGGUAAUGAGAAAUGAUAUAUGUGCAAAGUCAUUAGUGCUCCAUUGCUUGGAUUGGAUUGGACAUAAGGAGGUGAACAUGACUUUGCUUAUCAAUUUUUUUUUAUUUCAGUUACGUAUGCAUAAUCCCAUAGUUUAAUUAUUUUUUAUUUAAAAUAGAAAAAGGAAAAAUCAAAGUAUAUCAAUUGAAGGAAUGAUAAGCCUGAAAAGUAUUUUAAAAAAAACAAAAUAUUACUAAUCAAGAUUUGUCAAAUAACUAUUUAGUUAUUUUUAAUACUAAAAGGAUUAAUUAAUUUAAGAAAUAUUAGCAACCUCUAAAACACUAUCUAAUCCUUUUAAGAAAUCAAUAUUUAUUUUUUUAUGUUUUUUUAUGAUUUUAAUAUAUUUAUAUUAAACAUUAAAAAUAAAUUUUAAAAAUGCCAUAUUAAUAUAUUUUCAAAUAAAGAAUACAUUUGGAAAAUAAUUAAACUGCCGUACAUUACCGAGCGCAUACAAAAAGUAUGAUCCAUAAGUGCAAAGUCGUUAGUGCCCCCAUUGCUUUGCGUAAUUAUUUCUUUGCCAAUAGACAACAAUUUAGUUUGCGCAAUUUGAAAGGAACCUUACAUAUUUCCAAGGUUUUUAUUCUUACUUUAUUUUUUUAAUUAUUAAAUCCUAAAAAAUAUUCAAAUAUAUCGAAAUAACAUGUUUUUAAAAACAUUGAAAACCAUAUAAAAAAAUAUUAAUUUGAUACUCUUACGAUUACCACUAGAUAAGCUAAAAAUAAAGUUCUAAUUAGUAUUAUAAGCCAUAUGUUGAGCUACAAGUUUUUAUUUAUUUAUUCUUAUGAAUUUUAAUAUAAAAGGGUAUGAUAUUGUGUAAGUGAUAUUUUAUCCUUAGAUGUAUAAAAUUCUUCCUAAAUAUUUGACACAGUCUCAUGUUUGAUAAAUUUCAAAUCAUUGAUAAUUUAGAUUUGAAAUAUCAACUUUUUGAUGCCAACAUCAUGAUCAUCUUGUUCUAUAAUUGGGAUUAAUUCAUUAGUUUCAAGUAACAUUUUUCUAUAUUCCUAGUAGUAUAAAAAUCUUUUAAGGACCUAAUAUAUUUCUAUCACUAUUAAUAUUUUAUAACGAAUAUUUAUCUCUCAUUAAUAUUUUGCAAGAAAUAUUUGUUUCUCAUUUAUUAUUGCUAAAAGAAGGAAAUGACUCUUAAUAACUUAGUUUUUGAAAUAUUAAUUUGAAACAAAAAAAAAAUUCAAUUGUUUUAAAAAGCGUUUUUGAAACGAAAAACAAACAAAACCCACUAAUGUGCAAUUUAAUCACUUAGCUUUAAAGUACUUCAUGUGGAAGUAACUUAGUAGUAGGUGACUUAGAGGAAGAGUCUAAUGAUGCUAUUUAUCCUCUCUAUUAAUCAAUAGUUCUUUCUUAUUCAUCCUAUCUAGUUUCAAACCAUUUUUAUUUUAUUAAUUAAUAGUUUAUUUUUUUAAUUAACAUGAAUAUCCGGCAACUCAAUUUAUUAACAUCUAGUAACUUAGUACUAGUGAAUUAAGGGACUUCUCCUCGCGUGAAAUAUUCACUGACUUUGAUUAUCAAUUUUUUUUCAAUUAUGUAUACAUAAUUCCAUAGUUUAAAUUAUUUUUUUUUAGAAUAGAAAAAGGAAAAAUCAAAGUAUAUCAAUUCAAGGAAUGAAAAGACUUUGGAUCAUGAGAAACAAGUUAUAUAUAUAUAUAUUAGUGCGAAGUCAUUGGUGCCAAGAAACCACAAUUCAGUUUGCACAAUUUGAAGUCAACAGGGAAUCAAGUUGAUAGGAACCUUAAAUAUUGAUGAUGUUGUUCGGGUUUACGUAGUUUUGUGGUUUUUAAAUUUAUAUUUUUAAAUUGCCUUGUAAUAAACUUAUUGAUAGAAUUCGGAUUCAGGAUUCUAUAGGUUGCAAGCUUUUUAAGAUUUGACCAUGUUUAUGAUGUUAUUCGGGUUUACGUAGUUUUUACAGAUGUUUACAAUUUCACCACCUAUGAUUUUUCUUAAUUUUUAUAAUUUUUUCCGAUCUCAUCCUUUAAAAUUAAAUUGGUUGAAAAUUAUGCUUCUUGAUUGAAUCUAGGUAAAAAAAUUCAAUAGAUGCUGCUUUUAGAUAUUAAAUCAGGUUUAAGAGAUUUAUCCUAUUUUUUUUAUUUUUCUAAAUUGAUGUUGUCUUAUUUUUUAUCCUUUUUUUUUUACUUUUUUUAUAUUUUUUUGUUUAAUUCUCUAUUUUUAUUUUAUUUUUUAUUUGAUUAUAUUGGGUUAGCCGUCGACAAUUUUUUUAUAUUUCAUGCCCACCAUUUUGAAAUCUAUAAAUAUUCUAUCAUAUUACAAAUGAUUUUUAAUUUCACCCCCUAUGAUUUUUUAAUCUUCAAGUUUGGUACUAAUUUUUUUUAAUUGAAAUUUUUUUUGUUUUGAAUAAUUGCGAUAUUUCUAGCAUAUGUUUGCUUGAUUUUUUUUAUCCCUUUUUUUAAGCCAAUAUUUUUUGUUAUUUGUUUUUUUUUUUAAGAUUGACUCUUUUUUUUUCUUUGUUUUUUUUUCCAGUUAGGUUAACAUUGAGUUGUGUGAUAAUCUAAAUAGGUUCAGAUGUGGGUUUUUUUUGUCAGUUUAUUUGUUGUUGUUGUUGGAUUUUUUUUAACUUAUCAUUUUUUUAUAUUAAAGUAAUUGUUUGACUUGCAAGAACACGCGGACAACAUAUCUAGUUAUAAACCAAAUGAGAUAUAAUCCACACUCUUUAACAUAUUGAUACGAAAUAUAGAGGUUUGAAAUGUAUAGUUAUAUUUAUUCAGUCAAUGCAUGAUUCACUCUAUUUUUUUUUGUUAAAACAAGUAUGGUAUAGCAAAUUAAUCAUGAUUUUUUUAAAAGCAGGGCAUGUAAUUAAUGCUUUUAACAUGAAAGAAAUCACCAAUUUUUAUCACUAAUCCACAAUAUAAUUGAUUCUGCAAUUUUGAAGUUGGAAACCACAAUAAAUAGCUUACUCACCAGAUGCAUUAACCUAAUUUUAAAUGCAAAGGCCUUCAGCUUCAAGUGGCAUAUAUGUCAAUUCAUAUCAACUCUAACUCGACGCAACCAUUCUUUUUUUUUUUUAUUUAAAGAAAAGGCUUAUAAUAUAUAUUUUUUAAAGCUGCUAAGUGCUAAUCAAUGUUUCUUAAGUAAAACAUGAAAUCAUGCUCUUAACAUGAAACUAAUUAUGAGUUGGAAUCCACAUAAUUAGCUUAUAAUGCGUUAAUUUCAUUUUAAACGACAUGAUCUUCAACCUCAAGAGGCAAAUAAUUUGUCAACAUAGAUAGCUAUUCGUGCAAAGUAAACUCUCACAAGCUUAGUUUUGUUGUAAAAUAUUAAGUAUCCUCCAUUUUUUUAUAUAAAUAAUUAAUUUCUUGAAAAAUAUAUAAGUCUGAACAUGGAUGUAAUUUUUUUAGUGCAAUCAAAAGCACUUAGCAGCUUUGAAGAUAUUGAUCCAAACAUCCUAUUGUACAAAAAAAUGUUAUAUGAACAUCACUAAUGUUGAUUUGAAGAUAUUGAUCAUGUUAUUAUUUCUUUUAACAAAGCAAUCCAAUCGAGCCCACCUAGAAUUAAAACUAAAACUCACCGUCCCUUUCAAUAUUGAGUUCCAAUAAAAGGUAAAAAUAAAGUGCAAUAUUGGACGAAAAGAAAGUGCAAAAUUGAAACUCACCGUCCCUUUCAAUAUUGAGUUCUUACUCCCAAAAAAAUAAGUAAAUGUAAAUUGAUGUAAUUUAUUUGUAACAAGCUAUUAAACUCGAUUAGUUCAUGUUGAUUUUCUUAAAAAUUAAGUGGAAGUUGAACUAAUAUAAUUUAAAUGACCUAAUCAUGAUUUAGUUGAUACUAUCAAAAUCUAAGACAAUUUUAAAAAAAAUUAAAAUAAUAUUAUUUUAAUUAAUAGAGCUUAACCUGUGAUCUAGAUUUUUUAUCUGAGUUUUAAUAAUCAAAGAGUUGGAUUUUACCAUCUAGAUGUAAUUUUAACAUCUUCUCUGCUUCAUAUCCACAAAACUUGGGUUAGAGAAAAACAAAUAUCAUAAACAUUUCUUACCCAUAAUAAAGUAACUUUUUUUCUCUCUAAAAAAUGCAAAAGAACUCUCUUCAUUUUAUUUAUGUCAAGUAGUUAAUCAAAUCAAAUUAACCACACUUUGAUGCAUGCUCAUAGCUUAAUGUACAAAUAAUGCGCACAUAAUUUUCCACUGAAUUAAGGUGAUUUAAACGGAGAUAUUUAUUGCCCUAUUCCUUUCAGCAAAAUGGUUUCCUUCUUGGAGGGUGUAUAUAUGUGGUGUUUGUUUUGGAAUCAUUUUUGAUUCCUAGGACGAUUGUGCUAUGACGAGAGGAUUCCCUUUGCACGAAGCAACCAAUUUUGAUUCUUAUCGCAUCAUCCUAUGAACCAGAAAUUAAUGGUCCAAAACAGCGGUCCCACCUAUAGUAUGAUAAGAUCAUCAAUCAUCAAAUACCAUCCCCACCAUUUCCUGGGCCCACCCCACCAUCCACAUGAUCUCUCUCUCUCUCUUACAUCAAUCAUUUUUUUUGACAUGAUAUUUCUAUACUAAUGGCCUUAAAACUUGCCUUUCUCCUCUGGUUAACUGAUCUUGACAUGUUUUGGCCACACGUCUUUUGCUAAUGUUGUCUUUUUUGAUCCUUCCACUAUACAUUAUAUCUUAAUUUGAUCCUUGUCCUAUUUGCUAAUGUUGACCAAUGCUAAAACCACUACUAUAAAAAUUCUAUUGACUAGUUGAAAAGAAACAUUCCUUCCUGCUUAAGGAAUCUUGAAUGGGUCUAAACUCCAUAUGAAUGGCUGUUCUUUUAGCAAAUUUUCAUUCCAAUGUAAUGUUUGAUGAUUUAUAAAUAAAUUAUUGUCUAUUCCUUGAUUUAUGAAUGUGAUUAUAAUUUAGUCUUUCAUGUUCAAAAAUCUACCACUAAGUAUGUGUUUGAUAAUACGGUGCAGAGAACUUUUUAAAAUAUUCUUUAAUUAAAAAUACAUUAAAAUAACAUGUCUUUUUAAAAAAAGACAUCGACAUAUUAAAAACAUUGAAAACCAUAUAAAAAUAUCAAUUUGAUGCUUUUACAGCUACCACUAAACGAGCUAAAAAGAAAUUCUAAUUAGCAUUAUAGGCCUCGUGUUGGACUACAAAGUUUUAUUUGUUUAUUCUUAUAAAUUUUAAUAUAAAAUGGUAUAGUAUUGUAAAAGUGAUAUUUGUCCCCGAGGGUAUAAAAGUCUUCCUAAAUAUUUGGCACAAUCUCAUGUUUGAUAAAUUUCAAAUCAUUGAUAAUUUAGAUUUGAAAAAUCAACUUUUGAUGUCAACAUCAUGAUCAUUUUGUUCAAUAGAUGAGAUUAAUUCAUCAGUUUCAAGUAUCAUCUUCCUAUAUUCCUAGGAGUAUAAAAGUCUUCUAAAGGCUUACAUGUUUCCAUCACCAUUAAUAUUUUAUAACAGAUAUUUAUCACUUAUUAAUAUCGUACAAGAGAUAUUUGUUCCUCAUUUAAUGUUACGUAAGAAUUAUUUAUCUUUUAUUAUUGAUAUAAGAAGAAAAUGACUUUUCAGGCCAUUCACUCCAGCAAAAUGAUAAGGUUCAAGAGCUAUAAAUACUCAUUAAAUCAUCAAGGUAAAAGGUUUACAAUCUUCAUUAUUUAUUGUAUACAUAUUUUUUAAUUAUUUGUUUACAUAAUCUAAUAGUUAAAUUAUUUUUUAUUUAAAAUAGAAUAAGAAAAAAUGAAAAAUCAAAGUAUAUAAAUUGAAAGAUUGAUAAGCAAGAAAAGUAUUUUUUUUUUAAAAAAAGUACUAUUGAAAUAAGCAUGGUUAAAAUUGGUCACAACUAUUUAAUUACUUUUAAUAUUAAAAGGAUUGGUUAAUUUGAUAAAAAUUAGCAAUCCCUAAAACACUAUUUAAUCCGUUUAGGAAAUCAAUAUCGACGUGUUUCUAUUCUUAAAACAUGUUAGUACGGUGGAGAUUGCUUUUAAAAAUAUUUUUUUAUUUGAAAAUAUAUCAAAAUAAUAUUUUUAUGUUUUUUAGAUUUAUUUUUGAAAAAAAUUAAUAUUUUUAUAUUUUUAAUAUAUUUUUAUAUUAUUUUGAUGUAUUGGAGUAAAUAACGCUCAGUUAACGCUGGACUAGCUACAAAGAAAGUUCUAAUUAACACAGACUUCAUCUCAACAAAAUGUUAAAGGAAAUAUUCUAAUUAAAUAAUUCAACCCUCAGUUCCAUAUCCAGCACCACAAGAAGAUCAGACAAUAUCUAUAUAUCCAAGUUCCGAAGACUUUUCUGGACCAUUGCCUAUUGCUUUCUGACCUUGAUAUAAAAUUGACACUUCACGAGGGUCCCAAUUUUACUGCAUGAUCGGUUAGUACACUACAACAGCUAAGCACUGCACUCCUUCAGAUUUUUCUUCGUUCUAACACAAAAAUCUCAUAGUUUAGAUUAUUUUUUAUUUAAAUAGAAAAAAGGAAAAAUCAAAGUAUAUAUCAAUUGAAAGAAAGAAAUUUUUUUUUAAUGCUUCUCCCAGUGACUUUGAUUUCGUCAGUAUACAAUCUAAGACUGUAGCGUUUGUCUAUAUAUACUACUAAUAAUGCCUUUCUUUACUUCUCAUCUUAAAUUCCCAGUUAUACUUUGAAUCCUGUAAGGCCAGCCAACAUGGGGUUUACACCACCGUGCCUCUCUCAAUCUCUCUUUUUCAUUCUGUUUCUCUUCCAUUUCCACUCAACAAUUUCAUCUCCACUCUCCUCGAAUUACCAAUCUCUUUCUCUCCUUCAAUUCAAACAAUCCUUCUCCAUUGAUAGUUCUGCUUCAUCAGAGUACUGUCAAUAUCCCUUGCCAAAAACAGAGUCAUGGAAAGAGGGUACAGACUGCUGCUUGUGGGAUGGGGUCACUUGUGACCUGAAAACCGGGCAUGUCACUGGACUGGACCUCUCUUGCAGCAUGCUUUACGGCACCCUCCUUCCCAAUAAUUCUCUCUUUUCUCUCCGUCAUCUUCAAAACCUCGACCUCUCUUUCAAUGAUUUCAACUCCUCUCAUAUUUCUUCUCGAUUUGGCCAGUUCUCCAGUCUAACACAUCUUAACCUCAGUGGUUCAAUUCUUGAAGGCCAAGUUCCAUCAGAAGUCGCUCACCUCUCCAAAUUGGUUUCUCUUGAUCUCUCUUUGAACUACGGUCUAAGUCUAGAACCAAUUUCUUUUGACAAGCUUGUUCGAAACCUAACCAAGCUUAGAGAACUCGAUUUGAGUUCGGUAGACAUGUCACUACUUGUUCCCGAUUCCUUGAUGAAUCUGUCUUCUUCUCUGUCAUCGCUCAAACUCAAUGACUGUGGAUUGCGAGGAAAAUUCCCAUCCUCAAUGGGGAAAUUUAAGCACCUUCAGUACUUGGAUCUUGGAGGGAACAAUCUUACUAGUCCAAUUCCAUAUGAUUUUGAGCAACUCACUGAGAUGGUUUCACUUGAUCUCUCUGGAAACGGCUAUCUAAGUCUAGAACCAAUUUCCUUUGACAAGCUUGUUCGAAACCUAACCAAGCUUAGAGAACUCGAUCUGAGUUCGGUAGACAUGUCACUACUUGUUCCCGAUUCCUUGAUGAAUCUGUCUUCUUCUCUGUCGUCACUCAAACUCAUUGACUGUAGAUUGCAAGGAAAACUCCCAUCCUUAAUGGGGAAAU